UGAGGAAUAUUGGGCAAUGCCCGCAAGGGUGACCCAGCAACGCCGCGUGGAGGAUGAAUGUCGUAAGAUUGUAAACUCCUGUUAGAGGGGAAGAAUAGUACCGGUUGGACCGGUAUAUGACUGUACCCUCAGAGAAAGCCCCGGCUAACUACGUGCCAGCAGCCGCGGUAAUACGUAGGGGGCAAGCGUUGUCCGGAUUUACUGGGUGUAAAGGGCGCGCAGGCGGGAUAAAAAGUCAGUGGUGAAAUCCUACAGCUUAACUGUAGAACUGCCUUUGAUACUUUUAUCCUUGAGUUCGGGAGAGAGAGACGGAAUUCCAGGUGUAGUGGUGAAAUACGUAGAUAUCUGGAAGAACACCAGUUGCGAAGGCGGUCUCUUGGUCCGACACUGACGCUGAGGCGCGAAAGCGUGGGGAGCAAACA
rnacentral:rRNA from 1 species